UACGGGGGGUGCAAGCGUUGUUCGGAAUUACUGGGCGUAAAGGGCUCGUAGGUGGCCAACUAAGUCAGACGUGAAAUCCCUCGGCUUAACCGGGGAACUGCGUCUGAUACUGGAUGGCUAGAGUUUGGGAGAGGGAUGCGGAAUUCCAGGUGUAGCGGUGAAAUGCGUAGAUAUCUGGAGGAACACCGGUGGCGAAGGCGGCAUCCUGGACAAACACUGACGCUGAGGAGCGAAAGCCUGGGGAGCAAACGGG
rnacentral:rRNA from 1 species